CCUACGGGAGGCAGCAGUGAGGAAUAUUGGUCAAUGGACGAGAGUCUGAACCAGCCAAGUAGCGUGAAGGAUGACUGCCCUCUGGGUUGUAAACUUCUUUUAUAAAGGAAUAAAGUGAGGCACGUGUGCCUUUUUGUAUGUACUUUAUGAAUAAGGAUCGGCUAACUCCGUGCCAGCAGCCGCGGUAAUACGGAGGAGCCGAGCGUUAUCCGGAUUUAUUGGGUUUAAAGGGAGCGUAGAUGGGUUGUGAAGUCAGGUGUGAAAGUGUGCGGCUCAACCGUAAAAUUGCAAUUGAUACUGGCAGUCUUGAGUACAGGUGAGGGAGGCGGAAUUCGUGGUGUAGCGGUGAAAUGCUUAGAUAUCACGAAGAACUCCGAUUGCGAAGGCAGCUUACUAAACUGCCACUGACAUUGAUGCUCGAAAGUGUGGGGAUCAAACAGGAUUAGAUACCCUAGUAGUC
rnacentral:rRNA from 1 species